GGGCCCGUAGCUCAGUUGGUAGAGCAGCCGGCUCAUAACCGGCUGGUCCGGGGUUCGAAACCUCGCGGGCCCA
rnacentral:tRNA from 1 species